rnacentral:rRNA from 1 species
AGAGUUUGAUCAUGGCUCAGGAUGAACGCUAGCGGCAGGCUUAACACAUGCAAGUCGAGGGGCAGCGCGGAGGUAGCAAUACUUCUGGCGGCGACCGGCGGAAGGGUGCGUAACGCGUGAGCAACAUGCCCGUGGCAGGGGGAUAAGCGAUGGAAACGUCGUCUAAGACCCCGUAACAACAGAGUUCGCAUGGACUUUGUUUGAAAGCUUCGGCGGCCACGGAUUGGCUCGCGUCCCAUUAGGCGGUUGGCGGGGUAACGGCCCACCAAACCGACGAUGGGUAGGGGUUCUGAGAGGAAGGUCCCCCACAAUGGAACUGAGACACGGUCCAUACUCCUACGGGAGGCAGCAGUGAGGAAUAUUGGUCAAUGGGCGGAAGCCUGAACCAGCCAUGCCGCGUGCAGGAAUAAGGCCCUACGGGUCGUAAACUGCUUUUGUACGGGAGCAAUAAGGGCCACGCGUGGUCCGAUGAGAGUACCGUACGAAUAAGCAUCGGCUAACUCCGUGCCAGCAGCCGCGGUAAUACGGAGGAUGCGAGCGUUAUCCGGAUUCAUUGGGUUUAAAGGGUGCGUAGGCGGCGUGCCAAGUCAGGGGUGAAAGGUUCCGGCUCAACUGGGACAGUGCCUUUGAUACUGGUGUGCUGGAGUGCGCUUGCCGUGGGAGGAAUGAGUGGUGUAGCGGUGAAAUGCUUAGAUAUCACUCAGAACACCGAUUGCGAAGGCAUCUCACGAAGGCGUAACUGACGCUGAGGCACGAAAGCGUGGGGAUCAAACAGGAUUAGAUACCCUGGUAGUCCACGCCGUAAACGAUGAUGACUAACCGCCGGUCCGCUAGGGUCGGUGGCCAAGCGAAAGCGAUAAGUCAUCCACCUGGGGAGUACGACCGCAAGGUUGAAACUCAAAGGAAUUGACGGGGGCCCGCACAAGCGGUGGAGUAUGUGGUUUAAUUCGAAGCAACGCGAAGAACCUUACCAGGUCUUGACAUCGUAUGCAUAGUCUAGAGAUAGAUGAAAUCCCUUCGGGGACAUAUAGACAGGUGGUGCAUGGCUGUCGUCAGCUCGUGUCGUGAGAUGUUGGGUUAAGUCCCGCAACGAGCGCAACCCCUAUCCUAUGUUACCAUCAUUAAGUUGGGGACUCAUAGGAGACUGCCAGGGACAACCUGGAGGAAGGCGGGGAUGACGUCAAGUCAUCAUGCCCCUUAUGUCCUGGGCUACACACGUACUACAAUGGCCGGCAACAGAGGGAAGCGAAGCCGCGAGGCGGAGCGAACCCCAAAAACCCGGUCCCAGUUCGGAUCGCAGGCUGCAACCCGCCUGCGUGAAGUCGGAAUCGCUAGUAAUCGCAGGUCAGCAUACUGCGGUGAAUACGUUCCCGGGCCUUGUACACACCGCCCGUCACACCAUGGGAGUUUGUUGCACCAGAAGUAGGUAGUCUAACCGCAAGGAGGACGCUUACCACGGUGUGGCAGAUGACUGGGGUGAAGUCGUAACAAGGUAGCCGUAGGGGAACCUGCGGCUGGAUCACCUCCUU